rnacentral:rRNA from 1 species
UACGGGGGGGAGCAAGCGUUGUUCGGAUUUACUGGGCGUAAAGGGCGCGUAGGCGGCGCCGCAAGUCGACUGUGAAAUCUCCGGGCUUAACCCGGAAAGGUCAGCCGAUACUGCGGGGCUAGAGUGCAGAAGGGGCAACUGGAAUUCUCGGUGUAGCGGUGAAAUGCGUAGAUAUCGAGAGGAACACCUGCGGCGAAGGCGGGUUGCUGGGCUGACACUGACGCUGAUGCGCGAAAGCUAGGGGAGCGAACGGG